rnacentral:rRNA from 1 species
GGAGAGUUUGAUCCUGGCUCAGGAUGAACGCUAGCGGCAGGCCUAACACAUGCAAGUCGAGGGGCAUCACGAGGUAGCAAUACUUUGGUGGCGACCGGCGCACGGGUGCGUAACGCGUAUGUAACCUACCUAUAACAGGGGCAUAACACUGAGAAAUUGGUACUAAUUCCCCAUAAUAUUCGGAGAGGCAUCUCUCCGGGUUGAAAACUCCGGUGGUUAUAGAUGGACAUGCGUUGUAUUAGCUAGUUGGUGAGGUAACGGCUCACCAAGGCAACGAUACAUAGGGGGACUGAGAGGUUAACCCCCCACACUGGUACUGAGACACGGACCAGACUCCUACGGGAGGCAGCAGUGAGGAAUAUUGGUCAAUGGACGCAAGUCUGAACCAGCCAUGCCGCGUGCAGGAAGACGGCUCUAUGAGUUGUAAACUGCUUUUGUACGAGGGUAAACUCACCUACGUGUAGGUGACUGAAAGUAUCGUACGAAUAAGGAUCGGCUAACUCCGUGCCAGCAGCCGCGGUAAUACGGAGGAUUCAAGCGUUAUCCGGAUUUAUUGGGUUUAAAGGGUGCGUAGGCGGUUUGAUAAGUUAGAGGUGAAAUCCCGGGGCUUAACUCCGGAACUGCCUCUAAUACUGUUAGACUAGAGAGUAGUUGCGGUAGGCGGAAUGUAUGGUGUAGCGGUGAAAUGCUUAGAGAUCAUACAGAACACCGAUUGCGAAGGCAGCUUACCAAACUAUAUCUGACGUUGAGGCACGAAAGCGUGGGGAGCAAACAGGAUUAGAUACCCUGGUAGUCCACGCAGUAAACGAUGAUAACUCGUUGUCGGCGAUACACAGUCGGUGACUAAGCGAAAGCGAUAAGUUAUCCACCUGGGGAGUACGUUCGCAAGAAUGAAACUCAAAGGAAUUGACGGGGGCCCGCACAAGCGGAGGAACAUGUGGUUUAAUUCGAUGAUACGCGAGGAACCUUACCCGGGCUUGAAAGUUACUGACGAUUCUGGAAACAGGAUUUCCCUUUGGGGCAGGAAACUAGGUGCUGCAUGGUUGUCGUCAGCUCGUGCCGUGAGGUGUCGGGUUAAGUCCCAUAACGAGCGCAACCCCUACCGUUAGUUGCCAUCAGGUCAAGCUGGGCACUCUGGCGGGACUGCCGGUGUAAGCCGAGAGGAAGGUGGGGAUGACGUCAAAUCAGCACGGCCCUUACGUCCGGGGCUACACA